CCGUGACUAGAAAUAACGAAGACGGCACAGCCGGCCUGCUCCAGCAUCUUAUUGUCCCUGAGGUCAGCCAGUUGCUGCCGCGUCUGUUUGGCCGUGAGGGAGAAGUGGGCGCGGCCACUGUACCCCAUCUUGCUGAAUAUGUUGGCCAGGUUGUGGGCGUCGGUUUCUGAACCCUCGAGGUUUAGGUCCGGACGGCCCUUGAAGGAUCCGUAGCCGAGGAGACAGACGUAGCCCCUGGGGGCGGCGUCCAUCUUGUACACGUCCUUCCCGCUGAUCUCGGCUGGAGACACGUCAACACACAGUUUUAUUUUC